GCAAGGCAGCGGUAUCCAUGAACAACCUCAACUGUUCUUGUCUGUUAGAAUUCGAAGGCCACCGUUGUUACCAAGGCUCUCAGCUGGACCCAGCUGUCUGAGAGGAGUCUCUGCAAUGUUCUCAUCUCUCCCCUCCACCGGGAGACUGACAGCGGGGUCAGUUGUUCCUCAGGCCGUUUUGUCCCCCUACCUGGAGAUACAUCUGUCUUUGAGCUUUGCACCUUUUGGCAACACACAGUGCAGAAUUAUUUGAGCAGCUCUACACUUGUGGGAACAGAUCAUCUUUUGAAAAGGACCCCAUCAUUACCACUACUUGUUGUUUUCAUUUUCUCUUGUGUAGUCUGAGUGGAGAGUUUGUGUACACACAUGUAUGUGGGGCCAUGUGUCAGUGUGUGCUCAUGCGGAGAACAGAGGCUGACAUCCGUGUCUUCCUCAAUCACUCUUCAGCUCAUUUUUUUGGACACAGGGCCUCCCACUGAACCUAGGACUCGUUGAUUGGUUAGGCCGACUGGCCGGGAGCCCCAGAGAGCUGCCUCCCCAGCACCGACUGCAGAUGCACAUUACCCCUGACUUUCACAUGGGCGCUGGGUAAACAGGUGUCUCUGGGUCUUCACCAAGUCCAGGGUUGCCCAUCCUUCACCAUGUCGGGUGACUCUCUGGUAUCCUGUGAUGCAGUUACUGUCCACUGUAGGUGGUGGCAACAUGACCUUCUCUGCAAAAGGGGUUUUCUACACUGUGACAGAUCUUCUAGUCAGAGCACAGAUGCACAACGCAGACUACAGAAUGGCCCUGCCCUCUGAGACGUCUGAGAAUGUGCCGCUCACAACAGCCUUGCUGCUACCCUGGUGGUGAUACUGCCUAGGGGAGUUAAGUUACCCAGGCUGCUAGUGAACAGAGGGGGAAAAGCUGCCUUCUGUCAAAUGCAUUUUUAUGUUCCUGACACUGGGUGGUGCAAUAUAAAAGUAAUUACUAGCCCUCAAUACGUGGUGAUAAAAUGGCUCUAAAUUUGUGAAGUUACAAAGUAGCACCAUCACCUGCAAACUGAGCUCUAAGAACUGAGUCAUGUCAGCUGGAAUAGUCCGUGUCUGUGAGAAGAGGGCAUGGUCAUGGAUCAUUUUCAAGUGGCAACAAAGAGGAGAAACGAAAAGAUUCUUCAAAGGAGCUUUGGGUAAAUAUAACUAUUUGCUAAUGUAUGUCAUACAAUAGCAUCGAAUAGAGUCAGACAAAACAUUCUGCUUUAUUGGGAAGACAUUUUAGAAUAAAAACCAUAUACUUUAA